AUGUCCGUCCCCGCAGAGAGCUCUCACCCGGGGGAGGAAGGCCGCGCUACUCCUCAUGCCCGGUACACGAAGCAGAGCGGGACGGCGAUCGACAGACUCGCCGACGAUCUCCUCGUCGAGAUCCUCUCGCGCGUCCCCGCCAAGUCGCUCCUCCGCUUCAGGUGCGUCUCCAGCCACUGGCUGGCGCUCAUCGACCACCCCGACCACCGCAAAAGGCUGCCCCAAACCCCGGCCGGCUUCUUCUACGACAACAAGUACACCGGCGAGUGGUUUCUGCAACCACCUCCCCACUUCACCAGUUUCCCAGGGAGACGGUGCCCUCCGAUCGACACCUCUUGCUCCUUCCUGCCCAACCAUGAGCGCGUCCAUCUGUUGGCCUGCUGCAGCGGCCUCCUCCUCUGCCGCUGGCGCGACGCCUCCGCGCAGGGUGACGAGUUCCGUUAUGUCGUGUGCAAUCCCGCCACGGAGAAGUGGGUCGUGUUGCCGAGCUCCGGCAAGGCCACCAGCGAGGUGGCCACCGCACGUUUGGGCUUCGACCCAGCCCUGUCGUCGCAUUUCCAUGUGUUUGAGUUGGUAGAUGAGCAGGAGCCAAACUGGCACCCUCACAUCGCCGGAGUGGCAGUGUAUUCGUCUGAAACUGGAGCAUGGGUUUAUAAACAAGAGAGAUGGAACAAGCAAAUUAGGCCCAUUGAUCGUCGGUCAGUAUUUGUCUUUCUUAAUGGCCACCUGCAUUUUCAACCCAGCGCCCGUUGGUUAUCCCAUCAUCUAGCCAUGGUAGACACAGAGGGGGAAACAUGGAUGAACUUCAGUCUCCCUGGUGGUUUGGAUGAUGGUUUUAUUCAGCGAUCACAAGACCGCUUGCAUUAUGCCAAUUUUCAGGGAUAUGGAGGUGGUGCCAUUCGAUUAGUAGUUUAUGUUCUGGACAACUAUCAAAGCAGAAAAUGGAUAUUGAAGCACAGCAUCGAAGCUUCAUACAUAUUUCGAGGGAUGGAUGCCUACCUUCUUGGUCGUUUUGGAUGGGCUGCGAUGGAUUUUGGUUGGAUUGCGAUUCAUCCGGAAUGCAACACGAUAUUCUUCAAAGGGGGCAUUUGA
rnacentral:rRNA from 1 species